rnacentral:rRNA from 1 species
AGUAAUGCGUGACCAGCCUGCCCCAUGCUCCAGAAUAGCUCUUGGAAACGGGUGGUAAUGCUGGAUGCUCCAACUUGACGCAUGUCUUGUUGGGAAAGUGUUUAGUGGCAUGGGAUGGGGUCGCGUCCUAUCAGCUUGUAGGCGGGGUAAUGGCCCACCUAGGCUUCGACGGGUAGCCGGCCUGAGAGGGCGGACGGCCACAUUGGGACUGAGAUACGGCCCAGACUCCUACGGGAGGCAGCAGAC